ACGCAGCCAGCUGCGAGACUUGGUGUGAAUUGCAGGACACAUUGAGCACUGAUUUUUCGAACGCACAUUGCGGCCUCGGUUCCUACCCGGGGCCUCGCCUGUCUGAGGGUCGGAUG
rnacentral:rRNA from 1 species